rnacentral:rRNA from 1 species
UACGAAGGGGGCUAGCGUUGCUCGGAAUCACUGGGCGUAAAGCGCACGUAGGCGGAUUGUUAAGUCAGGGGUGAAAUCCUGGAGCUCAACUCCAGAACUGCCUUUGAUACUGGAGAGCUCGAGUCCGGAAGAGGUGAGUGGAACUCCGAGUGUAGAGGUGAAAUUCGUAGAUAUUCGGAAGAACACCAGUGGCGAAGGCGGCUCACUGGUCCGGUACUGACGCUGAUGUGCGAAAGCGUGGGGAGCAAACAGG